UGGAAUCCAAGGGAGAAACAGGCUGUGGUGU
rnacentral:piRNA from 1 species